GAUGAAGAACGCAGCGAAAUGCGAAAAGUAAUGUGAAUUGCAGAAUUCAGUGAAUCAUCGAAUCUUUGAACGCACAUUGCGCCCGCCAGUAUUCUGGCGGGCAUGCCUGUCUGAGCGUCAUUUCAACCCUCACGCCCCUAGGGCGUGGUGUUGGGGAUCGGCCAGCGCCCGCGAGGGUAAGGCCGUCCCCCAAAUCUAGUGGCGGACCCGUCGUGGCCUCCCCUGCGAAGUAGUGAUAUUCCGCAUAGGAGAGCGACGAGCCCCUGCCGUUAAACCCCCAACUUUCUCAGGUUGACCUCAGAUCAGGUAGGAAUACCCGCUGAACUUAAGCAUAUCAAUAAGCGGAGGA
rnacentral:misc_RNA from 1 species